rnacentral:tRNA from 1 species
AUAUAAGUAGUAGGGAGGGUUUACGCAAAACUUUGAUUUUUGAGGUAAAAGUUCAAAUCUUUUUUUAUAU